rnacentral:rRNA from 1 species
CCCUUAGAUGUCCUGGGCCGCACGCGCGCUACACUGAUGCAUUCAACGAGUUUACCUUGGCCGAGAGGCCUGGGCAAUCUUUUAAACCUGCAUCGUGAUAGGGAUAGAUUAUUGCAAUUAUUAAUCUUGAACAAGGAAUUCCUAGUAAACGCAGAUCAUCAAUCUGCAUUGAUUACGUCCCUGCCCUUUGUACACACCGCCCGUCGCACCUACCGAUUGAAUGGUCCGGUGAAGCCUCGGGAUUGUGGCCAGCUCGCUUUAUUGGGAGUUGGUCGCGAGAACUUGUCUAAACCUUAUCAUUUAGAGGAAGGUGAAGUCGUAACA